CCUACGGGAGGCAGCAGUGAGGAAUAUUGGUCAAUGGACGAGAGUCUGAACCAGCCAAGUCGCGUGAAGGAUGACUGUCCUAUGGGUUGUAAACUUCUUUUAUCUGGGAAUAAAACGUUCCACGUGUGGGAUUUUGUAUGUACCAUAUGAAUAAGCAUCGGCUAACUCCGUGCCAGCAGCCGCGGUAAUACGGAGGAUCCGAGCGUUAUCCGGAUUUAUUGGGUUUAAAGGGUGCGUAGGUGGAUUGUUAAGUCAGUUGUGAAAGUUUGCGGCUCAACCGUAAAAUUGCAGUUGAAACUGGCAGUCUUGAGUACAGGAGAGGUAGGCGGAAUUCGUGGUGUAGCGGUGAAAUGCUUAGAUAUCACGAAGAACUCCGAUUGCGAAGGCAGUUCACUGGACUGCAACUGACACUGAGGCUCGAAAGUGUGGGUAUCAAACAGGAUUAGAUAUCCGUGUAGUC
rnacentral:rRNA from 1 species